GACGAACGCUGGCGGCGUGCUUAACACAUGCAAGUCGAACGGAAAGGCCCUGCGUUUGUGGGGUGCUCGGGUGGCGAACGGGUGCGGAACACGUGAGUAACCGGCCCUAGACUUUGGGAGAAGUUAAGGAAACGGGGGUUAAGACCGGAUAGCAUACCCCGUUCCAGUGUGGGCGUUGGAAAUUCUCGGCGGGUGGGGAUGGAUUAGCGGCUUAUGAGCUUGUUGGUUGGGGAGUGGCUUACCAAGGCUUUGACGGGUAGCCGGCCUGAGAGGGUGACCGGGCACAAUGGGACUGAGAUACGGCCCAGAGUCCUACGGGAGGCAGUGGUGGGAAAUAUUGCACAAUGGGAGGACGCGUGAUGCAGCGACGCCGGGUGCGGGAUGACGGCCUUCGGGUUGUGAAACGCUUUCGCCUGUGACGAAGCGUUAGUGACGGUAAUGGGUAAAGAAGCACCAGCUAACUACGUG
rnacentral:rRNA from 1 species